CGGAGAGGAGUUGUGCUAACAAAAGACAACCUCGCUCGUCGCAACUGGCAAGGAAGUAAGAAGUGUAGCUUUUGUACUCAUGACGAGACAAUUAAACACCUCUUCUUUCAGUGCAAGUUCGCGCGUUCUAUAUGGUCAGUCAUCCAAAUAGCGUCCAAUUUGUAUCCACCAACAAGUGUUGCCAAUAUAUAUGGUCACUGGCUUGAUGGAAUACCAAAUACUUUUAGUACGCUAAUACGGGUGGGAGCGUCUGCCUUAUUAUGGCCGCUUUGGCUAUGUCGAAACGAUUGUGUUUUUAAUAGCAAAACCUCUCCUUCUAUGCAGGUUAUUUACCGUUGUACGCACUGGCUUGGUAUGUGGUCUACGCUACAGCGAACGGAGUAUCAAUCGUUGUUCAAGGCGGUGUGUAUGCGGUUGGAGCGGGUGGCCAGGGAGGUUUUUACCCAACAUGGGUGGCAACAUAAUCUCCGGAUCGGUCCACCUCCUCCGUCAACAUUGGCAUAG
rnacentral:rRNA from 1 species